GGGGAAUCUUGCACAAUGGGCGAAAGCCUGAUGCAGCGACGCCGCGUGAGCGAUGAAGGCCUUCGGGUUGUAAAGCUCUGUGGGGAGGGACGAAUAUGCGUUGGCUAAUAUCCAACGUGAUGACGGUACCUCCUUAGCAAGCACCGGCUAACUCUGUGCCAGCAGCCGCGGUAAGACAGAGGGUGCAAACGUUGUUCGGAAUCACUGGGCGUAAAGCGCGUGUAGGCGGCUAUAUAAGUCGGACGUGAAAUCCCACGGCUCAACCGGGGAAGUGCGCUCGAAACUGUGUAGCUUGAGUUCUGGAGAGGAAGACGGAAUACUUGGUGUAGAGGUGAAAUUCGUAGAUAUCAGGUAGAACACCAGUGGCGAAGGCGGUCUUCUGGACAGUGACUGACGCUGAGACGCGAAAGCGUGGGGAGCAAAC
rnacentral:rRNA from 1 species